GCUCAGGUCGCUGAGAGAUGUGGCCCCCCUUGUGGUUUCUAUACAGGUGGUGCAUGGCUGUCGUCAGCUCGUGUCGUGAGAUGUUGGGUUAAGUCCCGCAACGAGCGCAACCCUUAUCUUAUGUUGCCAGCACGUUAUGGUGGGGACUCGUAAGAGACUGCCGGGGUCAACUCGGAGGAAGGUGGGGAUGACGUCAAGUCAUCAUGCCCCUUAUGUCCAGGGCUUCACACAUGCUACAAUGGCCGGUACAGAGGGCUGCGAGACCGUGAGGUGGAGCGAAUCCCUUAAAGCUGGUCUCAGUUCGGAUCGGGGUCUGCAACUCGACCCCGUGAAGUCGGAGUCGCUAGUAAUCGCAGAUCAGCAACGCUGCGGUGAAUACGUUCCCGGGCCUGUACCACACCGA
rnacentral:rRNA from 1 species